rnacentral:rRNA from 1 species
GACGAACGCUGGCGGCGUGCUUAACACAUGCAAGUCGAACGGUAAGGCCCUUCGGGGUACACGAGUGGCGAACGGGUGAGUACCACGUGGGUGAUCUGCCCUGCACUUCGGGUUAAGCCUGGGAAACUGGGUCUAAUACCGGAUAGGACCCUGGGAUGCAUGUACUGGGGUGGAAAGCUUUUGCGGUGUGGGAUGGGCCCGCGGCCUAUCAGCUUGUUGGGGGGGUGAUGGCCUACCAAGGCGACGACGGGUAGCCGGCGUGAGAGGGUGACCGGCCACACUGGGACUGAGAUACAGCCCAGACUCCUACGGGAGGCAGCAGUGGGGAAUAUUGCUCAAUGGGCGCAAGCCUGAUGCAGCGACGCCGCGUGAGGGAUGACGGCCUUCGGGUUGUAAACCUCUUUCAGCACCGACGAAGCGCAAGUGACGGUAGGUGCAGAAGAAGGACCGGCCAACUACGUGCCAGCAGCCGCCGUAA